rnacentral:rRNA from 1 species
GAUGAACGCUGGCGGCGUGCCUAAUACAUGCAAGUCGAGCGAACAGACGAGGAGCUUGCGCCUCUAACGUUAGCGACGGACGGGUGACUAACACGCGAAUUACCUACCUCUUAGACUGGGAUAACUUCGGCAAACCGGAGCUCCUACUACUUCAUAUAUUCAACCUCAUGGUUCAAUAGUGAAAGACGCGUUUGCUGUUACUCAUACAUGCAUCCGCGCCGCAUUCGCUAUUAGGUAAGGUAACGGCUUUCCAAGGCAACGAUGCGUAGCCGACCUGAGAGGGUGAUCGGCGAGAUUAGAGCUAGGACACGGACCAGACUCCUGCGAGAGGCAGCAGUAGGGAAUGUUAGGCAAUGGGGGAAAGCCUGACGGAGCAACGGCACGUGAGUGGUGAAGAACUUCGGAUCGUGAAGAUGUGUUAUUAGGUAAAAACAGAUGUGUAAGUAAAUAAGCACAUCUUGACGGUACCUGAACAAAAAGCCACGGCUAACUACGUG